CCUCUUCCGUAGGUGAACCUGCGGAAGGAUCAUUA
rnacentral:rRNA from 1 species